rnacentral:rRNA from 1 species
AACGAACGCUGGCGGCAUGCCUAACACAUGCCAGUCGAACGAGACCUUCGGGUCUAGUGGCGCACGGGUGCGUAACGCGUGGGAACCUGCCCUUAGGUUCGGAAUAACUCCCCGAAAGGGGUGCUAAUACCGGAUAAUGUCUUCGGACCAAAGAUUUAUCGCCUUUGGAUGGGCCCGCGUUGGAUUAGCUAGUUGGUAGGGUAAAAGCCUACCAAGGCGACGAUCCAUAGCUGGUCUGAGAGGAUGAUCAGCCACACUGGGACUGAGACACGGCCCAGACUCCUACGGAAGGCAGCAGUGGGGAAUAUUGGACAAUGGGCGAAAGCCUGAUCCAGCAAUGCCGCGUGAGUGAUGAAGGCCUUAGGGUUGUAAAGCUCUUUUACCCGGGAUGAUAAUGACAGUACCGGGAGAAUAAGCUCCGGCUAACUCCGUG